AUGGAGUUAUGCCGAAAAUCCAACAAAGAGUAGGCA
rnacentral:ncRNA from 1 species